CGCCGUGUAGCUCAGUGGUCCGAGCAGAUGCCUUAUAAGCGUCCGGAUCGGGUUCGAUCCCCGACACGGCAACCA
rnacentral:tRNA from 1 species